AUGCAUGCACAUAUGUACUAUGUAUGUACAUAUGUACAUGCGUAUCAAGUUUUUUCAACUGUAAUAUACAUACAUACUAUGUGUGUAUAAUAAGUUUGGUAAAUAUUUAUAAUAUAUACACAUGUAUAUUUUUUUCUGCCCUAAGUAAAUAGGGCCAUAGAAAUUUUGGGCCUGUGAGUCACGUUCAACAGGCGCAGUCGACGUCGAGUCAGCAGAGGCUGAAUUUUGAGGUUAACUUUUUGACGACAAAAUAAUUUGCACAAAGGUGCAAAGUAUAUUUUUGCGUAAAAUUUUUGCUGCUGUUUAUUUAACUAUUUUUUUCUUAUUUUCUUGAGCGCUGAACCUGACAGAUUGACAGUCAGUCGCUCUGCUCGCUCUACACUGCCGGCGUCGACGUCGACUGCGCAACGACACCUGUGGCUAUGCGAAAAAGUCGACGAAAAAUGUGGAAAAAUAAAUGAAAUAAAAUAAAACAACCCUCGUCUGAGAUUUUGCUGCCAAUUUUUCGCAGGCCUAUGCAGUAAUUUACCCUCUCUCUCUCACUCUCAUUCUCCGUCCUGCUCUUUCUUUUCGCUUGCUCGAAAAAAGGUGUGACGUAGAAACCAAAAAACACGCAACCAAAACAAAGUAAAAAUAAAAGAAGUGGCAAGAAAAAAGCUUGGAAACAGCAGCUGAAAGUGUAACUAACAUACACACAUGAAAUUAUAUACCAAUAAACACACAUAGUCACAGGCACACAGGUACGGGUACGCAAAAAAGGAAACCUAAGUAAAAAAAAUUAAAUGGAAAUUUCUGAUAUAAAACACACACACACUCGCACUCACACAGCGAAGCCGAGUGAAGUUUGGCAACGCGGCGCCGCAAACGCGCAGUCGCCAGAGAGCGACGCCGGCAGACACAAAAACAAACAGUAAGCAAUGUCGCACGCGUGAGUGAGACGGUCAGAUGACGAGUGAGGUGGUUAAGUGAGAGAGCCAGUGCGUCAGAGAGUGUCCAGUGUUGUUUUUGCGCAGCCCCGCACGGCAACAGUGCACAGUGGGACAACUCGCGCAUCAAUUAAUAUUAUUACUGUGACCCACCAUCUAUUUUCUAUUCAUUUAAGUCUAUGGUAUUUCAAGACAAUACUCAGGUUAUUUAUAAAUACACGCAUGUAUUUCAUUAAUAUCAUCAUUAAAAAUUAAUAUUAAAAUGAAUUACUGUAGAUGCCGCUUGAGCGAAAUUAAUGUAUAUAAAAUGUGCUCACAAUUAUUAAUUAUAUAAUAAAUAUAUUGGUAAGCUACAUCUUGAUUAAGUUAAACACUGUUCCACUGUGCUACAGUAACUGGUUCACAAAAAGUGUGAGCAGAGAACAAGAGCGGUUUGCAAAAAAGCAGGUACCCCUGUGACCAAUUUGAAGAGUUCUUGAAAUGAAAUUUUGAAAUAUAAAUUUUGAUAUAUGCCAAUCCCUUACAUGUUUCUGUUAAAAAUUUUGUGUUUAGCUCUUUUUCUCACUUGUGUAACAAUAUUUUAAUUUCAUAAACAUUCAUGGAAAAUCAAAUUAAAAUGCUUAUAUUUGCUAGGUAUUCAGCAAAUUUCAUUUACCAAUAAUCACAUGGCUUGCCAAAAUUCGCCACUGGGCUUCAGCUUACCGCUUGGUUGCUUCUUCUUCUUGCACGCUUUUCUCUUCUUCUUCUUCACGUCCCACGCCAUCUCAAGAUCUCUUCCUCUUCGCGUUGGUACACAAAAAAACACAAUUUUUUUCGCUACAAUUUGACACACAAAGCAGCUGUCUGCAUAAGACCGCUCACACACACAUUGCACAUAUAUUCAUUGCAUACAUACAUACAUAUAGUCAUAUUAUAUAUCUCACGCUGUGUUGCCAUAGAUACAAACAGACUCACGUAAUUUAUAUAUGUGCAUAUAUAUACAUUUGUAUGACUGUGCGGAAGGGAGAGGUGGAUAUGGUGAGAAGGAGAGGGCUAUUUGUUAUCUACUGCGCAUUGUCUUGACGUUGUUUGCGUAGUUGUCUGUAUGUUUGCAUAUAUGUAUGUUUGUAUAUUUUUGAAUGCGAAGAUGAAGCAGAAGUGGAAGAGCAAGAAGAAGCACAACAGCAUGCCAAAUAACUAGCGCAGACGUAAAAGGGGCAAGAGAGAGCGAGAGAGGGAGAGCUCACCAGUUAACAUGACACGACCAACGUCAACAACAACAACGACAGCAACAACAAGUCAACAGAACAAACCGGCACAUUCAACUUAAGCACACACACACACGAAGAGGAAUAAGAUGAUGAUGAUGAAGAGGGACAAGCGACUGAGACGCCAGUCUGAUGCGUGCAAAAGAGAGGGCAACAUGCGAAACGAAAAACCAAACGAAAGCGUACAAAUAAAUAAAGCAGAAGGCACACCGAAAGAAAAAUGUCUUGUAAUUAAAAUGAACUGAAGUAGCCCAUGAAACUAACAGUUACAUUUUAAACAUGAU
ensembl:ncRNA lncRNA:Vinr VSR interacting RNA